UUUCAGCCUCUCUGAGUGUCAGUCCUGACAGAUCUCAGUUCUUUGAAUAUGAGUCUGUCACUCUGAGCUGUGAGGUUCAGGGGAAUUCGACUGGAUGGAGAGUGGUGAGGAACACAUCGAGAGGAAUCCUUUCAGAGUGUAAUACUGACUGGGGAGAACAAAAAGGGUCUUCAUGCAUCGUGUUGCUAAUACCAUCAGACAGUGGAGUGUACUGGUGUGAGUCUGGGUCUGGAGAACACAGCCAUGCUGUCAACAUCACAGUACCUGCUGCAGGUCCAUCUCCCAUUCCAUCUCCAGCAGUCCCAGUGUUGUCCAUGUCUCUACCCAGGCUGCUGUGUAGUCUACUGGUGGGGUCUCCUACCUGCUGGUGACCAUCAUACUGCUGGUGAAAGGCUGCAGGAGCAGGGCUCAAGGGGAAACCAGGAUACCCAGGAAGACCAACCAAGACCAGUUAGGUGAUCAUGUUGAAGAAGAGUGAGGCUGAGAUCACCUGAUCACCAUAACAACCAUCAGAAUGGAACUCAUGGAAUUCUAAUAUAGAACUGUGAGUCACAAUGCUGUAUGUUGUUACAUUGUAGCUCCACCUGCUGGAACAAUAGUGGCAUUUGAUCUAAUGUGAUCUAUUAACUCAUACAUGUAUUAUUCUGAUUGGAAUGUGUUUUAAUAUAAUGUGUGUUGUAUUAUUCAUUCAGCAGCUGUCCAUUAACAUCAGUCAUAUACUGGUCAUAUACUGUGUAGCAUUAUGGUUGAUACAUUGUCAAUGCCUUCACUUCUCAUGUCUAUACAGAUCAACUGAUAGGUGUUGUGGUUCAGGCAUUAUUGUCACAGGUUCAGUAUAAUGUUAUACCGUUACAUGUUACAGAGAUAGAAAACAUACAGGAGAGGAGAAUUCACUUAUUAUAAUUAUUUACUUUAUUUUCCCAUUUUGGUCUCAUUAUGUUAUUUUGUUUAAACAUGAAACUAAUGUAGUCCUUUUGUUUUAUUGUGGUUGUUUUGUGCAAAACCAUUAUUUUUCAUUUAAUCAUCUAGCUAAGAUUUUGCUUUUGUCUUUGUAGCAUAUAGAGUUAAAUAAAUUACUUU